rnacentral:rRNA from 1 species
UCUAGCAUGUGCGCGAGUCAUUGGGCUUACGAAACCUAAAGGCGAAAUGAAAGUAAAGGUCGAGUUUACUCGUUCUUAGGGGUGAUGGUCGCGCUAACCAUGCCGGCCCGCAACCCCGGGGCGUCACAUUCUCUUUGAGGGGUGGCGGUACCUUGAGCGUACAUGUUGGUACCCGAAAGAUGGUGAACUAUGCCUGGCCAGGGUGAAGUCAGGGGAAACCCUGAUGGAAGCCCGUAGCGAUUCUGACGUGCAAAUCGAUCGUCAGAGCUGGGUAUAGGGGCUGAAAGACUAAUCGAACCAUC